GCUUUAGUGCACGCUCGGGCUUCCUGGUGCGCCCGGAGCCUGCCUCGCGUGCCGACCCCGCCGCGUAAUCCGGCGAGGCAUCCCAGAUUCCGCCCGGCUCCAGACGCCCUCCACCGACUUUAGUUCGAGCAGGUGACGCCCUCAUUUUAACGCCGAAAAGUACUCAUUUGGAAGCAGUGCAUUUUUAUCAGAGGGACUGAAAAGCCUUUCGAGAAUCAGUCAAGAAAAAGGAAUGCGCAUGAGAGUCAUGGUCACAUCAUGUGAUUGUAGGGAAAGCCUAGGCUAUCAUGGAGGGAAGAGAUUGGAUAAAUUAUUUGAAAAGCAAGCCUGUGAAUUGCUGUGGAGGAACAAUAGCCUGUCUCUUAUCUGGAGCCUUUCCAAGGAAAAGCAAAGGGGACCCUAGAAGGCUUCCUGGGAGACAGUUUAAUUCUGAAAACAAAGCAGUACUUCACCUCUUGUGUGUUGGGUAGAGCUGUAAAACAGAACACAGUCAAAAUAGUCAUUAGGGCCACAUCAAUGUCUGCCCAAAGUCAGGCGAGCAUUCCCAGGAAGGUGGGGGGCUGUGGCAGUUGCACACAUCAACCUCCUUUCUCCAUUGUCACACAGCAGAAGAGCGUGUUCCAUUCUACUAAAGUUGGGGCGGGGGGAGUUGAAUAAUUUAUUGACUGAAAACUGGGGGCCUGAGUUAGAUGGUAAAAAAGUUUAGAGUGCUGUUUUUUGUUUUUUAAGUUAUGUUUGUUUUAUAUAUUGAAGUGCUUAAAAUGUAUUUUAAAAAUUCAAAACAUCCCAGAAAUUCAGCAACUUGAGGAGACAAUAGUGACGAACAUUUUAUGGCAACAUUUGGACACUUUAAAGAUUAUUUCAGGAACUUUAAUGCUGAUAAAUGAGAGAAGGGACAACUUUUCCUAACUAUAACAUUUCGGCACCUGAGUACAGGGAUCAAAACAAGAGCAAGCAUUUCAAAUUCAUAUUGUGAAGCACCUACAAAAAGAUUAUUCUGUUAGCCUUCAUAAUGUGGAGAGUUCAUCUUUUCAUCUUAUCAAAUAAAAAUAUACCCAAAUUCUUGAACAGGCAUUCAGUUAGGAAAAGAGGGUGGGGUGAUGAAAUGUGUUCUCAUUCAGCAAACACUUUGCAGAUAUUUCUAGUCAAAGAUCCCUGUGGUCUAGGCUAGUGAGAGAAAAACGUGCCCUCUGCCCAGUGACAGCGGCUGCACGGGGAUCAGCUUUCACCAAUGCAGGCAGGGGAACAAAGGGCAGGCUUCAUCUGCCUGCAUCCCACAGGCCCUUGCGCAGGGGAGUUCCAUUUCAGUGCCCAUCACAUGACCUCUCAGGCCAAAACGGUUUUUAAUAAUUCUGAUUUUGAAUAUCAAAUGGAAGUGAAAAGUACAUUUAGGAAGGAAGGGCUCUAUCCUUAUUGAAGAACAUGCUCUAUGCAAACAGGUUGGACAGGCACUAGCUCUUGUAGAGCUAUGGUUCUCAGCUUUGGCAACACACUGGAUCACCUCCUCUAAAAGGUACUGAUGCCUGCUUUCCUCCCUCUUCUGCCCCUAAAGAAAGUAGAAUUUAAUUUUAAGCUCUAGGGUGUGGCCUGGGCAUCAGGACUUUUUUUUUUUUUUUGACAGAGUCUCACUGUGUCACCUAGGCUAGAGUGCAGUGUGCAGUCUUGGCUCACUGCAGCCUCAAUCUCCCAGAUUCAAGAGAUCCUCCUGCCUCAGCCCCCUAAGUAACUAGGAUUACAGGCACGCACCACCACACCAGGCUAAUUUUUGUAUUUUUUGUGGAGACGGUCUUUCACUGUGUUGCCCAAGCUGGUCUUGAACUCCUGAGCUCAGGUGAUCCACCUGCCUCAGCCUCCCAAAGUGCUGGGAUUACAGGCAUAAGCCACAGCCCCUGGCCGGCAUCAGGAUUUUUAAAAGCUCCCAAGUGCAGUCAAGGUUGAGAACAGCUGCUAUAGUGUGACUUAAUACAGCAUUCAAAGCCUCUCAUAAUCUAGCCUCAGCCUAAUUUUUCCUUCCAGCACCCCAUCUCAGCCUGUACAUAAGCCACAGAGACAUUCUCACUGUUCUCUGAAUGUACUUGGCUCAUUCAUAUUUCCAGGCUUUCUUGCACACACAUUGUCUGACUCUGGGCACCUAAGGAAAGCUCAGCUCCAAUGUCCUCUCCUCUUCCGUGAAACCUUUCCUGUCAAGCCCACCUUCACUACUAAGUCACUCCUUGCUCCUAGAUCAGAUGGAAGAAUGCUUUGGCAUAUCUCUACUGGAGCCCUUCUCACUUUACAUUAAAGAUAACUGUAUAUAGGUUAGCCCACUCCUCCUCCCUAAUAGCAUGUGGACCCUUUGUAGUUUCAGCAGUAAGCACAGGGCUUGGUUUCUAUGAAUACUUAUUGAGUGAAUGGAUGAAUGAAUGCCAAUCUUGUACAUUGUUGAUGUUCACCACAUUGAACCCAGUUCUCAAACCAGGAUCACUUGGGAGAUUCUGAGUCAAUAAUUUGAAGGUCUGUAUCAUUCCUACUCAAAGUGUGGUCCAUAAGCCAGCAGUGGCUAUAUUAUCUGGGAGCUUGUUGCAAAUGCAGAAUAUGUAUUUUAACAAGAUCCCCAGGCAAUUCAUAUGCACAUUACACUUUGAGCUAUAUUUUUAACAAGCUCCCAGGUGAUUCCUUUGUAGCCCGGCUGCUGACCUGCAUUUCGUAACCACUGUUCUAGACCUUCAUUUGCUGAAUGGAGUGGUCCCUGUGUGAUUGCCUACAGGUUUCUUCUAGUCUCCCAUUUUUCUUCCUAGUUAACAAAGCCCAAAUUUUGUUUGGAAGGGUGAUCAGCCCUUCACCCAUCAGGCCUUUGCCUCAGGGAAGCUUGACCCCACCUUUAGACCCCAUGUUGGGCCUGAGUAGUCCAAAGGCAUAUCCCAUUCCCCUGGCCAGGGAUUAGUUUAGGGAUAGACAUGUGACCAAAUUCAGCUCAAUAAAAUGUGAGUCUGCAGGGGCAAUCUAGAAAAAGUGUCCUCUUCCCUAAGAGAAAGCCACAGGAGGGUAAAAAAAUGUCUCAGAACAUUGUCCUGCCUAAACAUGAUGCCUCGGACAUUCUGCUUCUGUCUUGCUACCUGCAGCACAAGGAAAUCCAACACUGAGGGGUCACAGCAGAGGGACGGAAAGCACCUGGAUCUUACAACAUUGUUGAGCUCUUUUGUCUCUUGACUUCUAGUUAUGAGAUGUAAUUUUCUUACUGUUAAAGUCAUUUCUGUUCCUUGCAACCAAAAGCAUUCAUUGAUACACUGAAUAUAGUACAAUAUUUAUUCAAUCAAUAAAUGCCUGGCAAAUUACCCAAGUAUGAGUAAUUGUAGUUUGUCUCACAGCUAUUCUUUCAAGUAAAAGUGAUGCUCCAUGACAAAAACGGCUAGUUUAGCUUGUAACACAAACAACUGCACAAGUGCUUUUCCUUCAGACAAGUAUUGUACUUUCAUAUGUAACAGAUGUAUGUGCUUUAUGCAUGUUCCCAUUUCAUAACACAGAGUAUUAGAAACAUGUAUACUUCAGGGUUGAGAUCUCAUAAAAUGAGUAGUUUUCACAGCUUCAUUGAGGACACUCUUAAAUGAAACUGGCAGGUUUUUUUUUUUGAGUACUAGGAAAUGGGUGGCAGUAAAGAAUACAGUAACUAUUAAUAUAGUGUGGUGCUACUGCCUUGAAUUGUGCUAAGGCAUCGGCAGUUUUCGUCAUCAUUGCUUUGACAUCAUCAGUGCAGGUGUCAAUACAGUGAAAAAGGUAAAUGGCAUCUUGGUGUGAUUAUGGAAAUAGAUUGAUCUAAUGGACCGCCUGAAGUAGGCUUGGCCUCCCCAGGGAUCUUAGAGAACUGCUAUAGUAGGUGAUUACUUGGGAAACAAAAUCUCUUAGGAGAAGUUAUGGAUACAAAAUGGUUAUUGUUGAGGCCUGGAAGAGACUGAAUUAUGUGCCAUAUCAUGGUUCUGACUCCUUUAUUUGGGUCAAUGUCACUAUUGCCUCAGUGACUGCCAGCACAUGGGGCUGGUAACAGAGGAGUCCUAGGAGUAUCCAGGUGCUGAGGUGCUUGUGAGGCCUUAGGCUGGAGGGCACAGCAAAUGGGCUCACCCAGUGCUACCAGUUACAGACACAUUCACAAGACUGUGAAUCCACAACUCAGUUCUUUAUUUCCCUCUUCAGCCUGUUAGGUAAUUUAUCAUGUACUCAGCUUAGAAACACACUAUUUAGUGUAGUCUGAUUUCUGUUUAUAAUUCUUAAAAUACUCUUAUUAGUGAAGUCUUCUAAGUUCAGCCUUUUCUUGAGCUAAAAUUUCUCCGAUGCUGAAUAACUAUUAAAUAAUGAAUGUGUUGUUUCACUCGGAGGGGCAACAAGAUUCCCUCAAGCAGCACCUACCCCCACUGCUUGCCAGAAACAGGCAUUUUGGCAACACCACAAAGCACCAACUUUCGAGGUCUCACUGAGCCAGUCCUUGUUUCCAGGAAAGAAAACCCAUGUUCUUGAGCCAGAACGAAUGCUCUAAAGGCUGAGAUUCUCUUUUCUCUUGCUAGAGAGGGAAGAAUGACAAUGGUUUGCUUGGAUUCCUAUAGUGGGAAAGCCAUCUAGAAAUUCUAGCCAGGCAGAUAUCUCUCACAUGGAGAUACUGUCCCUUGACUCAUGAAUGCACUGUGGAAUUUGCCCUGGUGCCUUCUGAAGGGUUAAAGAAAAGGAUCCUAUUCCUUACUAGCAGUGAUGCUGAGGCCUGAAUCAAAUUAGGGAAAAGGCCAGUCAUGCUGUUGCCUGCUAUAUUUACUGAGAUAAUUUCUUAAAGCACAGAAGCAAGACAGACAAUCCAAAAAAUCGACAUGAACUUGUUCUGCAGAGUAAAGAUAGUUUCUGUCUUACUGCAUUGCUAUGAAAAAAAAAAAAUUUUAGAUCUGAAUGUGGCAAGGAAACAAGCUCCCUAGAUCGUCAGAGAAAUGACUGAGUUUUAGCAAGUUUUUCCUAAUUUUUGACCUAAAAUGUUCUUUCCUUCAGUGCCUCCCUGGAGUUUUUGUUUUGUUUUAUUUUUGUUUUCUAACACAAAAAAACACCUGCAUCACACAUUCUUACCCUCACUUUUGUGCUCUGUGUUGGAAACACAGGAGUUGUAAUGAUGUCUUUGGCUCUGGGCCUCUAAAUCUUCAUAGUGAAUUCAUCAAACUCUACACCUCAGGACCAGUCCAAAGCUUGGAAGGGAAAGAGGAGGAAGCAGGGGUUAUAAACAUACGCCAGGCAAUUUUUUUCCCCGUAUCUAGGUCAUUUUACUUUUCUCUGUGUAAAAUGCCUGGCCUUGGUGUUUUUGAGUGUGCAUGUAAACUCAGACUUGGCAGUGGGGAACAUGCAGUCAAACUUCUACAAUAUUCCUGGUGAUUGGCCUUUUAUAUCCCUAUCCUUGCUACUCCUUUUACCUUGACAUUGAACAUUUGCUCAGUACUUUAGCUCUUAUUAUUGUGUUGGUAGAACACCUUUUUCCCCUUAAGCACAGUUCUAGUACAUUAUUUCUGUGUUGUAUUAGAAAAAGGGAUGGAGCAAUAAGUUGGGAGAUUUUGCAUCCUAGUUCUGCCAUUAAAUGGCCAUAGAUACUGGAAAAGUCAUGUUCCUGUUCUGGGCUUCAUCUGUAAAAUGGGGAUUGGAGAGAGGGCUAAAUUUCCAGUGGUCCAUAGAUCUGGUGACGUGGUUUAGAUAUUUGUCUCCUCCAAAUCUCGUGUUGCAAUGUGAUCCCCAGUGCUGAAGGUGGGGCCUAGUGGGAGGUGUUUGGAUCAUGGGGGCAGAUUCCACAUGAAUGGCUUGGUGUCAUGCCAACAGUAACGAGUGAGUUCUUGAUCUAUGAUCUAUUAGUUCACGUGAGAGCUGGUUGUUAAAAGAGCCCAGCACCUCUCCCAACUCUCCCUUGCUUUCCUCUCUCGCGUGUGAUACACUGGCUCCCCUUUUGCCUUCUGCUAUGAAUAUAAGCUUCCUGAGGCCGUCACCAGAAGCAAAUGCUGGCUGUAUGUUUCUUAUACAGCCUGCAGAACUCUGAGCCCAAUAAGCUUCUUUUCUUAAUAAAUUAUCCAGUCUCAGGUAUUCCUUUAUAGCAAUGCAAAAUGGACUAACACAACUAACAUUUUUAGCAAAGUCUUCUUUCCACCACUUCCUUCCACUGGGCAUUUUAAGACAGCAGUGCUGAGAUAGGCUUUUGGGAACCAAAACCUAGAGUUGAUGGGUUCUAGGUCCUUGUCAAGCCUAAUGUUAGUUUUUUUCUCUCUUUCUCCAAAUGUCAGGUUUUCUAUCACCCCACCACUUCAAUAGUUUGCACUUAAUUUACCGAAGCUUCUGUGCUUUCUAGGUGGUUCACAUGGCUUCACUCCCCCUAACUCUCCGUGCUAUAUUCUAAACCUUUCACAGUCUAAAAGACAUGGGCAUUUGGUAAUUUUUAAAGUACCUUCUUCAUUUAAAAGAAUGAAAUGGAGUCUCAGAGAAGUCAGCUGAUGGCAAGCUCUCACAAGUUGGGUCAAAGGACAGCAAGUAGGUGAGGCGAAGCCCUGAAUUCCUCAAGUAGCACAUCCUAGUGGCCGCAUGAAGAGGCUUCUGGUGAAAGGGAAGAAAAGAGUGCUGCCAGUUUCUAGGGAAGCAGACGGGCAUAUGAGUGCUGCCCAGAGCUGCCACACACAGGGCCGCUGAGGGCCAACUUAAGUUCCUACUCCUGUGACCAAGAAUGACAAGCUCCCACCUACAUUGCUGGCCUACAUGUUUGAGACAUUCAAGCACUCAGGGAAUACAAACAUUUACUCUCUGGAUGUGCGAUGUUAGUGCUGCCUGUGACCAAAGGAUGAACUAAAGAAAAUAAAAUUAAAAAGAAACAGUGAGAGAAGCCAGUUGGCUACCUGUAGAAAAAGAGGGGAAUCUUGGUGGUUCUAAGGGAAACAAAGAUAACAAACUAGGAAAAUAAUUCAAGAACACACAGACCAAGUAGUAAUAUACAUGAAAAUACAGCAUGAAAGAAGAUCCCUUCAUAUAAAAGUUAAACAUUGAGAAGAGGAUUUUAUGUGGUGACUUAAAACUAUUACCCCCUUCUAUGUUUUCUCCAAGAGGCUAGUAAGGACUCAUUUAAAACAAGCAUUAGAAAUAAGAUUUGCCAAUAAGAUAAUUGAAACAAUAUAUAGAAAUUGAGACAAAAUUCUGGGCACAUCUUACCUAUAUAUUUUGUUAAGCCACUAUAAAAAAAUAGUGACAUUUCCAGUUAAUAUGCUUAUCAUUCUAAACCUACCAUCAGAUAACUCAAAAUUAUAAGGAGUUGGCAUCAGGAACUAAAGGAAAAUAGCCUAUCAGAAAGUCAACAGUGGCAGAACUGCUUAAAUAUAUGGGGCAGCAUGAUGACUUAAAAUCUUAGGUCAAUUAAUCUGUAAUAACCUUGGAGAAACUUUCCUAAAUUUUUGUGCCUCAAUGUUCUCAUAAAUACAAUGGAACAAUACUGUUUCAUGGCUCUGUUAUGAGGAAAUGAAUAGCCUAAAUUGCCACCACAGUUCUAAUUAAAAUGUUACCUUGAGUGCAGUGAGCAAAACCUCAUCUUUAAGAACCAAUAGAAGCUAGGUGUGGUGGCAUACAUCUGUGGUCCCAGCUACUUGGGAGGCUGAGGUGGGAGGAUUGCUUGAGCCCAGGAAUUUGAGGCUGCAGUGAGCUAUAAUCGCGCCACUGCACUCCAGCCUGGGCACAGAGUGAGUCCCUGUCAAUAAAUAAAUAAAUAGGAAAAGGAAAAAAAAGUCUUCUGAAAGUUGGCCAAACCACAAGGAAAAAGCAAUUCAGUUGAGGGAAUAGAGGAAAGGCUGACCCAGCUUUCAGCUUCUAUAUCUUCCCUUUAAUACAGAGACAAGGCAAUCAUAUUUUAUAAUUUUUAUUAUGCACUCAUUUUGGAUGUUUUCCUUAUGAAUUAUAAGUAAGUUUCAGAAUUCAGUGAGUUUAAAGAACACAUUUCCUUCAUAGGCUAUGUUGCUUAUGGUAAUCUUUCACCUGUCAUAGGAAUGUUUGGCCUAUUUAAAGGUUGCAGGUGUGUGAGAACAGAUGGUAUUGAGAAUGGGGACACAUUCAGGCUACAAAAAGUCUGCCAAAAGCCAAUUUGAGGUUAAUGCUUUAAGAGCAAUGGUGCUCUUUUCUUUGUCUUUCUCCUCUGUACAUGGGGAGCAGGUACUCUACCAGAACCAUGUCCUGGAGAUUUAAUUUGUGUUUUUUUUUCUUUUCUGUUCUUUAGUGAGAGAAGCACAAGAUACUACUACCACCUUAGAAUCAAUGCAGCAAGCUUCCCUGAGAACAGUGG
rnacentral:lncRNA from 10 species